rnacentral:lncRNA from 1 species
AUGGCAACGGCUCCCAGUGUCACCAUUGUCACCAGUUCCAGUGCUACCAGUGCCGCCAGUUUGAGCAACGUCACCGCUCCCAGUGUCACCAGUGCCACCAGUGCCACCAGUUUGAGCAAUGUCAUCGGUUCCAGUGUCACCAGUAUGAGCAAUGUCACCGGUUCCAGUGCCACCAGUGUCACCAGUUCCAGUGUCACCAGUGCCACCAGUUUGAGCAAUGUCACCGCUCCCAGUGUCACCAGUUUGACCAGUUCCAGUGUCACCGGUGUCACCAGUGCUACCAGUGCCAGUGUCACCAAGGCCACCGGUGUGACCAGUAUGGCUGCUCCCAGUUUGACCAGUGCUCCCAGUUUGACCAGUAUGGCUCCCAGUCUGACCAGUUUAACCAGUACGCCUGUGACGUCAUCUCCCAGUGCUCCCAGUACCAGCAUGGCGGCUCCCAGUAUGACCAGUACCAACAUGGCGGCUCC